rnacentral:rRNA from 1 species
UACGUAGGGGGCAAGCGUUGUCCGGAAUCAUUGGGCGUAAAGAGCGUGUAGGCGGCCAGAUAAGUCCGCUGUGAAAUCUCGAGGCUCAACUUCGAGCUGUCGGUGGAAACUGUCUGGCUAGAGUCCGGAAGAGGAGAGUGGAAUUCCUGGUGUAGCGGUGAAAUGCGCAGAUAUCAGGAAGAACACCCGGGGCGAAGGCGGCUCGGUGGGACGGUACUGACGCUGAGACGCGAAAGCGUGGGGAGCGAACAGG